CCGGAGGGUCCGAACUGCCUCAGCGGAGAAAGGGGACAUAGUGUGCUGGCGGGCGCUGGCUGUUGGCGUUAGAGCUCCGGCUGUGGCUCAGUCUGGGGCGCGGUUCUUGCCAACACACCAUGUCCAGAGACAGCUGACAAAAAAACUAAAUUGAAACCAGCUCUGGAUGGGAUAACAACACAGGGUCAUACUUACUUUACGGCAGGCACGUUAUUCGCCUUCUUACUCGCACUUACCGCUAUGGAUUCGCUCUUCAGGGGGCACUGAGACAUCCUACAGCGCCCUGGACGGCCCACCCCAACCAUGGUAUCCGUUGUCCAACAGUUUUGGAUACCCCAGAAUCGUCUCCCCGUUCCCCCUCUACAGCAUGGUGCACUACCCCUUCCUUACCUUAAUGAUCUACUCUUCCAUAGCGAAAUGAGAAUACUAAGCCAAGUGGAAUUUCAUUUCUACGUUAUAAAAGAAAAGUGCCUUUGUUGCGUCUGUCAGAUCGCCGGACUGGAAUGCUUCGACGACGGCUCCCCUGGAUAGCAAGACAAUUUGGUAGCGGAGGUGCCCUGGAUUUCCCUUUUUAUGUUCUUGGUAAGUAUGUAUAGGUAGUUCGUGUAAUGUCUUACCCUCAAUAAAAAUAUAUAAUUUCUUGUUUUUCUUUUUUUUUCUUUUAGCCAACCUGCAGGGACAACAUUAAACGACCAAAGGGUCUUUUAUUUAAAGUGUAUUCCUAGUGCCCUAGAAUGAGCUCACCCUACUUCCUAGGUUGUAUCGUCCGUUCAAUCACCGGACUGCAGAUAUGAAACCCAAUGUCUACCCUGUUUGCUGCCUAAGUUAUUCUGUUUUCUUUUUUUUUUUUAUUUCUUAUAUUUUUAUUCCAGGAUGUGUGUCAAGCUAAGUUUCUCUGUGUAUCGUUCUAAGUAUUGAACAUAUAAAAAGGAGCAUACAUCGGCCUACCUUGGCACCUACGGGCUGCUGGUGCAAAAUUCCCUCGGGGACACUGGAGCAGAUGGCGGCGGUGGAACCAAUGAUGAAGCUGGAGAUGCUGAUGAGAUGAUGAUGUUGUUGAGGAUGGAAAUGUUGACGUUGCCGUGGAUGACGAUGGUUAAAAUUGCAGUAGAGGUGGGUAUUUAUUAUUUGACAAAAAGUUUUUGUUGUUCUGUUUAGUCUUUGCUAUGUUUUAUUCGUGGCUCAAAUUAACGUUCUUUUUCAAAGCUUUUUAUAUUUCACAGGAUCUUUUUUCUUUAGCAUUAAUCAGCACUAAUAAGUUUAUUUAGCUUUAAGUUGAUCUAAAGUAACUUCAGCUUUUUUACUACAAAAGCUAGUCUUUAUUCCUUUCACAAAAAAAAGGAACAUUUAUUUGCUUUUAAAUAAAAAACUUUAUGCCUUUGGCAUCACAUAUUCUGAUUUGUUUUUUUUUUCUUUUGUUUGUCAAGCUCACAAUCAAAGGUUUGUAGAACACAACAUAACCUUUUCUUUUUUUUAAAGUUUUCUCUCUUUUUGAAACACCACUUUCAACACUCUUGAGUACACCACCUCUUACUGCUUGCACGGCUCCAUCCAAAAAGAACUCGUCAUCUUCCCUUUACUGUCCAUCAUGGUUCCCCCAAGCCAUCAUGUCCACCGAGGAACCAUCAUAAAA